UGAUAGCUGUUUUAUGUUACUUCCUCAGGGUUGAGGAGACCUCUGGUUAGUAUUAGUUUUAGUUCCCAGAUCCAAGGUGUUUUUCUUACCAACUUCUAGGUAGAGAAUUUUUCCUUCACCCCUUAACCCCUUAACAAGAGAAAUGAACAGCAUGUUAUUGGCCCCAAAAUAGACUGGUAGACCAACGGUACAGAAUGGUACACUAACCAACAAAAUUACAAUUACCUUAUAUAGACAAAGACACCAAAAACAUACAUUCUAGAAUAGAUAGCCUCUUCAACAAAUGGUGCUGGGAAAACUGGAAAUCCAUAUGCAACACAAUGAAAUUAAACCCCUAUAUCUCACCAUGCACAAAACUCAACUCAAAAUGGAUCAAGGACCUAGAAAUAAAACCAGAGACUAUGAAUCUAAUAGAAGAAAAAAGUAGGCCCCAAUGUGCAGCAUGUGGUAUAGGCCCCAAAUCCCUUAAUAUGAUUCUUUUGGUGCAAGAACUGAAAUCAAAAUCAAUAAAUGGAAUGGAAUCUAGCUAAAAAGUUUCUUCUCAGAAAAAGAAACAAUCUGUGAGGUGAAUAGAGAACCAAUAUCUUGGUAGCAAAUCUCUACUCCUCACACAUCAGAUAGAGCACUAAUCUCUAGGGUAUAUAAAGAACUCAAAAAGCUAAGCAC
rnacentral:lncRNA from 1 species